GAUGAACGCUGGCGGCGUGCCUAAUACAUGCAAGUCGAGCGAACAGACGAGGAGCUUGCUCCUCUGACGUUAGCGGCGGACGGGUGAGUAACACGUGGAUAACCUACCUAUAAGACUGGGAUAACUUCGGGAAACCGGAGCUAAUACCGGAUAAUAUAUUGAACCGCAUGGUUCAAUAGUGAAAGACGGUUUUGCUGUCACUUAUAGAUGGAUCCGCGCCGCAUUAGCUAGUUGGUAAGGUAACGGCUUACCAAGGCAACGAUGCGUAGCCGCCCUGAGAGGGUGAUCAGCCACACUGGAACUGAGAUACGGUCCCGACUCCUACGGGAGGCAGCAGUAGGAAAUCUUCCGCAAUGGGCGAAAGCCUGACGGAGCAAAGCCGCGUGAGUGAGGAAGGUCUUCGGAUCGUAAAACUCUGUUAUUAGGGAAGAACAAAGGUGUAAGUAACUAUGCACGUCUUGACGGUACCUAAUGAGAAAGCCACGGCUAACUACGUG
rnacentral:rRNA from 1 species